rnacentral:rRNA from 1 species
UACGUAGGGUGCAAGCGUUGUCCGGAAUUAUUGGGCGUAAAGAGCUCGUAGGCGGUUUGUUGCGUUCGGCUGUGAAAUCCCGAGGCUCAACCUCGGGUCUGCAGUCGAUACGAGCAAACUAGAGUGUUGCAGGGGAGACUGGAAUUCCUGGUGUAGCGGUGAAAUGCGCAGAUAUCAGGAGGAACACCGGUGGCGAAGGCGGGUCUCUGGACAGUUCCUGACACUGAGGCAGCGAAGGCCCAGGGGAGCAAACGGGG